GCCGCGGUGCUGAAGCAGCUCAGGUCGGGGAGGGAGGGAGGCGGGGCCGGCCCAAGGGGGCGGAGCUCUCCGGGGCCCUGAGCUGGAAAUGGGGGCGGGGAGGCGCCUGCAGGCCGGUAACCCCCAAGGGCUUGAGAGGAGAACAGGAGAUCAGAGACAGGCCGGAUAAAGCGGACACAGGCACCUGGGCAAGCUUCCCUGAAGAAGCCAAGAUCGUCAUCUUUGUCCUAUUUAUUUAUUCUCUUUCCUCUACCUUGGAGGGACCCUCAUCUUGUGCCCAGACCUCAGCCUCCUCUCCAAACUCAGCCGAGGGUGACCUGCUUCUGGGCCCCCAUCUGCACAGACACCGACUUCCAGCCCACAGGCCUCAGCCCAGGCGCUCGUGCCCUCACCAUGGUGAAGUUGCUGCCUGCCCAGGAGGCCGCCAAGAUCUACCACACCAACUAUGUGCGGAACGCCAGGGCGGUCGGCGUGAUGUGGGGCACGCUCACCAUCUGCUUCUCCGUGCUGGUCAUGGCCCUGUUCAUCCAGCCCUACUGGAUCGGGGACAGCGUCAACACACCCCAGGCAGGCUACUUCGGCCUUUUCUCCUACUGUGUGGGCAACGUGCUCUCCUCUGAACUCAUCUGCAAGGGUGGCCCUCUGGACUUCUCCUCCAUCCCCUCUAGAGCCUUCAAGACUGCCAUGUUCUUUGUGGCCUUGGGCAUGUUCCUCAUCAUUGGCUCCAUCAUCUGCUUCAGCCUGUUCUUCGUCUGCAACACCGCCACAGUCUACAAGAUCUGUGCGUGGAUGCAGCUGGCUGCAGCCACAGGCCUGAUGAUUGGCUGCCUGGUUUACCCAGAUGGUUGGGACUCGAGCGAGGUGCGGCGCAUGUGUGGGGAGCAGACCGGCAAGUACACGCUGGGCCACUGCACCAUCCGCUGGGCCUUCAUGCUGGCCAUCCUGAGCAUCGGAGACGCCCUCAUCCUCUCCUUCUUGGCCUUCGUGCUGGGCUACCGGCAGGACAAGCUGCUCCCUGACGACUACAAGGCCGAUGGACAAGAGGAAGUCUGAGGCAGCUGCAGGGUCGGGACAUCGAAUACUGUCUUACACACUAGUGAGGACGAUUGCAUGCCUGGGUGGAAAUGAAUCAAAAUGUCAUCUAUUUCCCUGACACUGGAAAAUGAGGGAAUAGUAUUCUUCUGAGAUGAACCUAGUUCCUGCCCAGCAUCCCUGACCCUGGCUGCUAGAGCAAGCCCCGAAGCCCUUGCCACAGGACUGGAGCCUGGCGCUCUCCGGGAUGAGGCUGCCUACUGUCCACAGAGAACUCUCAGGUGAAGCCGAAGUGCCGAGACACCCAUCAACGAUAUGCAGACACAGGUCCCUCUCUCCUGACUGGGGACCCAAGUUCUCUUCCUAUCCCUUCAUGCCUGCAAAUUGCUUUUCCCUCUUGAGGUCUCCUCUGUGAGAGGAGGAGGUGGAAUGAGUUGGAGCCUAGGGCCCUCCGGGUCUGAGACUCCCACAGCCCAAUUCACCGAGGACACGUCCUUUGAAGGCACACCAAAGACGGCCACCGGCUCUGCAGGGCGUCUGAACGAGAGGCAGCUAAGCAAGGUGGAUCAUUUCAAGUUGAGGUUUAGGGGUUCCUUUGCUUCUCCUUUCUCACAUUUUGUUUUCUUACUGAUGCUCAGAGGUGGGUAAGGAAGAGAGAAGCCACCAGAACCUGAAUCCAUCGGGAAGUCUAAUAAAGAUCGGGUGAACACAGAGUCUAAAAACUUGAGACUAAAUUGGCUUCUUUCCCUUUGGAACCCAAAAUCACACCUCUGUGUAGUACCCACACUGACCCAAUCAGAACUGGCUACCAGAUUCAGAAAUCUGUUACAUGUGUUCAAGUAGUUUGUUAUAGUAAUUGAAAACAUUUCUUGUAAAACACUUUGGAUUUGGCACACUAAAUGGUGAGUCUUUGCCAGCACCCAGAGGGGAACUCAGUUUGGAUAAUACCGCAUUGUAGCAAAUGCCAAGACACCUCAUUCUCCAGGCUGUUCCCUCCCUGGGGGACGGUGGGUAGGGCAGGGAUUUGUUCACUGUCUGCAGUGAACGGUCCUGAGGAACAGGUGUUUCCUGGUCUUCAGUCAUUUACUCAGGAGAGAAAAAAUGUGGGCGCUGUUCUCACAGGUGAGAGGGGGUAAAUGCUGAACAAAGCUGUAAUGGAUCUGAUAGCUUCAUCCAGCAGCAGUCAGGGACAUGACACACAGUAGGUGUCUUACUCUGGGGCCGUAGGGCAUGUUGUUUUAACCAACACCCUCUGACCAUAUGCCCAGUCAGUGCAGUAUUUCUGCUCCCGUUCAGAUGGGUGAGGAACGAGAGCCUCCCAGCGCUGUCCCGGUUGCCAAUGGGAACUUUUUAGCAUGAGGUGUAAUAAUCAUAUUCAUCUUUUUAAAAGUGGCUCAGUGAGUUUAUUGCAUUUUUUUCCAUUACCAUGUGUUAUCCUUAUACUCACCCUUCUCUGCCCUACAGUUGCCACACUUGUCCAUAUCCAUGAGUCUAUUCGUAUUUUCUUGUGCUGUUAAGAUUAUUUCAGAGCCAGGCACCUACUUCAUGCAAGCUUGAUAAACAGCAGAAUUUCACAAAUUCUAUAGCUUAGUGAGUUUCUAGCUAUAUUUGUUCAUUUAUUUCUUUUACUUUUUAUAGAAGGCAAGAAAUAAAAACAUUUCUAAAAGCCUCUCUACUGUCAAAAUAUUUCUCACUGAAAUGGCAACUAUGGUGAUUCACAGGAGCUUCUGGGGGCUUCAGGUGCACCUGCCAGCAGCUUGCAUUGCUCUUGCUGGGGAACAAAAUGCAAAUGAGUCACCACCCAGCAUCUCCCCUUUAGCUUUAUGUUCAAGGAAACUCGGAAUUCAACCUGUCCAAUAAUAGUAAUGAUUUUUGUUGAUACUCUCAGCUCUCUUAAGUGGCUUUACCUUUAAAUAAAUUCCUAAAGGGCGCCUCACAUCUCAUUUUUGAAAGUAUAUAGAAACUCAAUAAAACCAGCACUCCUCUAACCAAGUUACCUUCCUUUCUCAUUCAUUUCUGGUUUGCCUGUCUUGGGCUGGAGGCUAGAGAUGGUUCUGAUACCCAAGUCUUAUCAACAAUGACCAAGCCUGAGCAGAUAUGGCCCAGAGAGGAAGGACUAGUCAUUUACUCCUGAAAUGUGGACUGGAAGGAUACCCCAAAUGCUUUCAUUACCUUACAUCUUUGUAUUAACUGUUGCUGCAUAACAAAUUACCCAGAAUGCAGUGGGUUUAAAACAUAUCGGUUUCUGUGGGUUAGGCUGCAGCAAGUCUCAGCCAAGUGUCUCUACCUCAAAGUUUCUGGCAGGGCUGCAAUUAAGGCGUCGCUUGUUUCUGAGCCCAGUGGUUGUCUGCAGGGUGUUUCUCACAGGUUGUACUGGGGGCCUCUCAACAGUGGUACUCACACAGCACCUUGCUGUCCCAGAGCCAGGGCUCCGAGGCGAGUCAACAGGGUGCAGGCCGAAGCCAUAGCCCUUGGAUGUCCUAAUCUCAGAAGUGACAUCCUGUCAUGUUUACUUUCCUGUUAGGAUAAACCCCACGUUCAAGGCAAGGGAAUUACAAGUGUUCUUACACAAGUGUGUAACAGGUAGGGAUCAGUGGGGUCCUGUUUUUCAAGUAACUUAUUUUUUGUGUCAAUUAACUCCUUUAAUUUUCUGCUAGAAUGGCCACUUACCAUAAUGCUUUAUUGGAACAAAUGUUAGAUCCUCAUAUCCUCACAUGCCGCUGGUAGAUGUUUGUUUUACAAUAAAGUUGCUGAAAAUGAAAGAAGAGCCCUAACCCUCAAAACUCCCUCUACUUUUGUUAUCUAACCUCAAGAGGAUUUAUAGGAGGGUCCACUAGUUCCCCAGUGACUGAACCUUCCUCUAUAUUAAACAAAUCCAAAGUUACCAAUGCAGUAUUUUAGGGGCAUAAUUUCUAAGAACACAGCUCAAAUCGUAGGCAGCUGAUGUACCUUGUAUAACACAGUCCAGUUCUGCCAAUUGGAGGACAAAGCUUGUUACUGUGUUAAAAUGGGCAAAAGUUAGAUCCGAAUUAUGGAUGAGAGAACAUUGUGAUAAAAGUGAACUUGGAGGAUAUAAACUCAAGUUGAUCACCUCCCUUUAUAAGGAAUGCUGCAGUGGGUAACAGAACUAGUUACUAAUGUAAACUUGCUUAAUUAAAACUUAAAACACU